CUGGGCUCUUUGCCUCUGUUGCAUUUGGAGACUGAUUAACACAGUCUUACAAUUAAUUACUUGUCCCUUCCACCCCUGGCACCUCAAACUCGGGUGCAUUCAGGUCACUGAGCAGUUGUGUGGACGUGUGUUAGGCUUUCUUGAGUUUUAGCCAGAGAGCCAGGCUACUAGCAGCUGUGCUAGACUUUUAAGAUGUGGAAAACUUGGUAAAUAUGCUAAAGUAAGAGACAGGAACCAGGCCAGAAAAUGGGAUGUCCGAAGAGAGUGGGAGGCCAUGAGGGGAAGUGUGCGCCGCAGACACCGGAAGCUGGGAGUUACGAAAUUCCUCAGUUUCCCAACUCCUGGCCGGGGCUGCCAUGUUCCCAGAGUCCAUAGGCUGAUGUUUACUUCAAAGUCAUUCUGGAACACAGGACCAGACCCACUCUGUUCAUGACGUCCAGAGCUCCCUAAGGUUGGGGGACGCCGAUCAUGUGGAGCCCCAAACGUUGGUGAGCGAACCCAGGAACUUGUCAGCAGGAGUCCACACCCAGGUUUCCAGAAAGCCAGCCACACAAUCCGAAAGGUGGUUGAUUGAGUUCACUUCUUUUCAAGUUCAUUGGUCCUGCUCAGACACACAGCCCCAUCAUCAUCAGGACAGCCCCGUCAUCAUCAUCACGAAAGUUUACGCCUCUUAUUCAUGACGUUACAUGGUGUCAGAGACAUGGGAUUCAGAGCGACUGACCUCUGAUUCUGGGGUUACUGCGUGGACAAGAGCAAG
rnacentral:lncRNA from 1 species